GACGAACGCUGGCGGCGUGCCUAAUACAUGCAAGUAGAACGCUGAAGGAGGAGCUUGCUUCUCUGGAUGAGUUGCGAACGGGUGAGUAACGCGUAGGUAACCUGCCUGGUAGCGGGGGAUAACUAUUGGAAACGAUAGCUAAUACCGCAUAAGAGUAGAUGUCGCAUGACAUUUGCUUAAAAGGUGCAAUUGCAUCACUACCAGAUGGACCUGCGUUGUAUUAGCUAGUUGGUGAGGUAACGGCUCACCAAGGCAACGAUACAUAGCCGACCUGAGAGGGUGAUCGGCCACACUGGGACUGAGACACGGCCCAGACUCCUACGGGAGGCAGCAGUAGGGAAUCUUCGGCAAUGGACGGAAGUCUGACCGAGCAACGCCGCGUGAGUGAAGAAGGUUUUCGGAUCGUAAAGCUCUGUUGUAAGAGAAGAACGAGUGUGGGAGUGGAAAGUUCACACUGUGACGGUAUCUUACCAGAAAGGGACGGCUAACUACGUG
rnacentral:rRNA from 1 species